UACGGAGGGGGCUAGCGUUGUUCGGAAUUACUGGGCGUAAAGCGUACGCAGGCGGCUUUGCAAGACAGGUGUGAAAUCCCCGGGCCUAACCUGGGAACUGCAUUUGUGACUGCAUCGCUAGAGUCUGUCAGAGGGGGGUGGAAUUCCACGUGUAGCAGUGAAAUGCGUAGAGAUGUGGAAGAACACCGAUGGCGAAGGCAGCCCCCUGGGAUGAGACUGACGCUCAUGUACGAAAGCGUGGGGAGCAAACAGG
rnacentral:rRNA from 1 species